UUUUGUUCUGCUCUACCCCGUGUAAUUGGCCAAUUGGGUACUAUUCGUAUUAGUGAAAAUUAUAUUAUUGUAGAACCUAUUUCACGUCAUAUUAGAUUGAAUAUUGAACUUGACAAAAGACAUUAAAGGUCCAACGAUGAUUAAUGACGACAGUUUUUCAAGCACAUAAAAUACUUCAAUCUUUAACACUGAAUCUUAUUUUGGAUAACAAAUUGUGAUGAAGUUCUGGAGAUCAAAAAAAUAUGUUCGGCUAAAUUGUUUAAAGUGAAAAAUGAGGACUUUAAUUUGAAAAACAUAAGUUUGUAUUUACACAAGAAAUUCCAAAUAUAGUUACAGAAAAAUGUCGAGAAUUUAAAA